GGGUCAGUAAGUUGGUCGUGCCACCGGUACGUACUGGUCUCACUGAUUCCUCCUUCCUGAAGAACCGUAAUGCCAUUAAUUUGGUGUUGCGGGGAAACAGGACUGUUACUUUGAAAAAAUUAGAGUGUUUAAAGCAAGCUAACGCUUGAAUACAUUAGCAUGGAAUAAUGAAAUAGGACGAUCGAUCCUAUUUUGUUAGUUUCUAGGAUUGACGUA
rnacentral:rRNA from 1 species